rnacentral:rRNA from 1 species
GAUGAACGCUAGCUACAGGCUUAACACAUGCAAGUCGAGGGGUAACGAGAGGAAAGCUUGCUUUCCUUGUCGACGACCGGCGCACGGGUGAGUAACGCGUAUCCAACCUGCCCCCAACUAGGGAAUAACCUUGCGAAAGUAAGACUAAUACCCUAUAAUUUCCUCAGAUGUCAUCUGACGAGGAAUAAAGAUUUAUCGGUUGUGGAUGGGGAUGCGUCUGAUUAGCUUGUUGGCGGGGUAACGGCCCACCAAGGCAACGAUCAGUAGGGGUUCUGGGAGGAAGGUCCCCCACAUUGGAACUGAGACACAGUCCAAACUCCUACGGGAGGCAGCAGUGAGGAAUAUUGGUCAAUGGGCGGAAGCCUGAACCAGCCAAGUAGCGUGCAGGAUGACGGCCCUAUGGGUUGUAAACUGCUUUUAUACAGGAAUAAAGUUAGCCACGUGUGGUUAUUUGUAGGUACUGUAUGAAUAAGGACCGGCUAAUUCCGUGCCAGCCGCCGCAGUAA